UUCCUCUCGAGUGUGGUUUUAUGUUUUGGGUUUUUCUGAUGUGUUGUUUAAAGAAGAGUGAAUGGCGUGCGCUAUUUGGAGAAAGUUACAAACAGAAUUUAUGCAUUUGUAGUGAAAAUGAAUAGAUCCACAACAAUUAUUUUAUUUCUUUUCAAAUGCCAAUAAAUAAAUAUUACUUAGUAUAGUACUACUAGUAUUUAGUUAGAAAAACAAAUAAUUUCUUUUUUGGGAUCGGAAUCGGAACAAAUAAUAGAUGAAUAAAAAGAGAAAACCGCGGCAAAAAGAAGAUCAUCGCGGAUCCGGAUCCGAUGGGGUUUAAUAAUUCCCAGCGUGAUGGAGUUGAUUCGUGAGAUACAGAAUGAAUACAAGUUGCCGAGAAAGUGGUACCAUAGAUUCAACCAAGCUUCGAUCUGAAGAACCAUCCAAUGCUGAAACUCACGGUAAGGAUUCCGGAUUAUCUAGAUCGAUUAAGAGUUUCGCAUCCUUGGUCGGGUUUUUGUUCGACGUGAAUGGCCAGUGGUGUGAUGAUUAUAUUGAGGAGAUCAUUCAAUUAGCGAUUCUCAAGCUUCGGUGGAUUAAUAAGGAUCAGAUCCCAACCCAAUCGUCGUCAACGUUUUGAAAACAGGGGUGCAGCGGUUUUUAAUUCUUUCUUAUUGUUUCUCAAAUUUGCAAAAUUGAUUUAGUCAAAAAAAUAAAUCUGAAGGCUAUCAAUAUGAAUUGAUCUAUUUGUAUUUAUUGGGGGAUUUUAGCCUGGAUGAAUUGUCAUCUUUUUGGUAAUGGUGUAUUCCUCUUUUUAAUGUGAAUUGAGUUUGUCAAA